rnacentral:rRNA from 1 species
GACGUAGGUGGCGAGCGUUUGUUCGGAAUCACUGGGCAUAAAGCGCACGUAGGCGGCCAAGUCAGUCAGGUGUGAAAUACCUCGGCUCAACCGAGGAACUGCGCCUGAUACUGCUUGGCUUGGAGGUCCGGAGGGGAGAGUGGAAUUCCCGGUGGAGCGGUGAAAUGCGCAGAUAUCGGGAGGAACACCAGUAGCGAAGGCGGCACUCUGGGCCGGGAACUGACGCUGAGGAGCGAAAGCGUGGGGAGCGAACAGG